GUGGGGAAUCUUGCGCAAUGGGCGAAAGCCUGACGCAGCCAUGCCGCGUGAAUGAUGAAGGUCUUAGGAUUGUAAAAUUCUUUCACCGGGGACGAUAAUGACGGUACCCGGAGAAGAAGCUCCGGCUAACUUCGUGCCAGCAGCCGCGGUAAUACGAAGGGGGCUAGCGUUGCUCGGAAUUACUGGGCGUAAAGGGCGCGUAGGCGGACAGCUUAGUCAGAGGUGAAAGCCCAGGGCUCAACCUUGGAAUUGCCUUUGAUACUGGCUGUCUUGAGUUUGGGAGAGGUAAGUGGAACUCCGAGUGUAGAGGUGAAAUUCGUAGAUAUUCGGAAGAACACCAGUGGCGAAGGCGACUCACUGGCCCAAUACUGACGCUGAGGCGCGAAAGCGUGGGGAGCAAACAGGAUUAGAUACCCUAGUAGUCC
rnacentral:rRNA from 1 species